UUUUCUGAUUGAUCGCUCUCCAGUUCAUCAGAGGAGCGUGCAGACCCUGGGCCUGAGUCCACUCUGGGCUGGCAGGAGCUCUUGCAGCUCCAUCCUCACUCCCUGGAUUAGUAUUAGGAAAUCCACCCCCACCCCACCCCACAUCCUGCUGCAGCCUCUGGGCGCUGGCCUGGCACGGAACCAGGAGGGGCAGGGGGCACCAUGCCGGCUGGGGAGACGGAGACGGUCCAGCCGGAGCCUUGCUCUGGCCCCAGUGCAUCUAAGGAUAUGUUGGGAUUAUAAUCAUAUUGUCAAAAGGAAGGAAAUUGGAAGUCACCCCAGGGAAAAUACUCCAGUCUAUUUGAAUAAUUAGGAGGGUAAAGACUUUUGCGAUCGCCAGUUGUGCGGUUGGUUUGUGAGUCAUUGUGGAGCACUUGGCCGGGCCGGAGACAGCAAGAAGCAAUUAGUCCUCUGAUCGACGCGGUUUGUCAACAUAAAAGGUUUGGGCUGAAGGGCCGCCAGAUGACACCCACUGCUUGGCACGCCCGCGAUGGCCACAGGCCUUCGUUGUUUAUUCCUCCCGCCUGAAAAACGCCCCGGGGGUGAGAGAAGGGGGCGGGCCCGAGCUGGAGGUGGGGCGCAGCUGCCGUCCAUCUGAGCCCCUCCGCCGGCGGAGCAGAGCCCCUCCCCUCGCGUUAGGGGGCAGGGCUGCUGGGGCCACCUGCUUCCCACUGGGCCAGAGGCCAAUUAUCCAGACGGAGGGACAGCCGGGUCCCCAGGGCAGGGACAGCGAGACACGAGAAAGGGAGUUAAGCGGACGCGCGGAUGGUCAGAGUAAAAGGGGAGGCUCCGUGGCCCUUUCUUCAGACAACCUGCUUGCUGUGCAGACCGCCUGGACUCCACCACCUGGAGCUCCUCUUCCAAUGAGGCCGCAGGGCAGUCCCUUCUGUUUGUGACCGACAGCAGGCCGAGCCCAGCCCCCGCCC
ensembl:lncRNA